CUUGAACGUUUCUGUUUUGUAGAUAUAUUUUUGAUUGAUCUUUGAGAAAAUAUUUUGAUAUUUCGAAAUACCGAAUUUUAUUAUUUCACUAAGCUGCAAAUUGUAACCAUCAAAAUGUAUGUAUAUAUAUAUAUAUAUAGAUAAAUAUAUAUAUACAGUGGGUACGGAAAGUAUUCAGACCCCCUUACAUUUUUCAUUCUUUGUUAUAUUGCAGACAUUUGCUAAAAUCAUUUAAGUUAAUUUUUUUCCUCAUUAAUGUACACACAGCACCCCAUAUUGACAGAAAAACACAGAAUUGUCGACAUUUUUACAGAUUUAUUAAAAAUUAAAACUGAAAUAUCACAUGGUCCUAAGUAUUCAGACCCUUUAAUUUGACACUCACAUAUUUAACUCAGGUGCUGUCCAUUUCUUCUGAUCAUCCUUGAGAUGAUUCUACACCUUCAUUUGAGUCCAGCUGUGUUUGAUUAUACUGAUUGGAUUUGAUUGGGAAAGCCACACACCUGUCUAUAUAAUACCUUACAGCUCACAGUGCAUGUCAUAGCAAAUGAGAAUCAUGAGGUCAAAAGAAGAGCUCAGAGACAGAAUUUGGCAAGGCACAGAUCUGACCAAGGUUACAAAAAAGAUUCUACUGCACUUAAGGUUCAUAAGAGCACAGUGGCCUCCAUAAUCCUUAAAUGGAAGACGUUUGGGACGACCUGAACCCUUCCUAAAGCUGGCCGUCCGGCCAAACUGAGCUAUCGGGGGAGAAGAGCCUUGGUGAGAGAGUUAAAGAAGAACCAAAAUAGAAAGUCAACCAUCACUGCAGCCCUCCACCAGUCGGGGCUUUAUGGCAGAGUGGGCCAACAGAAGCCUCUCCUCAGUGCAAGACACAUAAAAAUCCUGCAUGGAGUUUGCUAAAAACACCUGAAGGACUCCAAGAUGGUGAAAAAUAAGAUUCUCUGGUCUGAUGAGACCAAGAUAGAACUUUUUGGCCUUAAUUCUAAGCGGUAUGUGUGGAGAAAAACCAGGCACUGCUCAUCAUCUGUCCAAUACAGUCCAAACAGCGAAGCAUGGUGGUGGCAGCAUCAUGCUGUGGGGGUGUUUUUCAGCUGCAGGGACAGGACGACUGGUUGCAAUCGAGAGAAAGAUGAAUGCGGCUAAGUAUGGGGCUAUCCUGGACGAAAACCUUCUCCAGAGUGCUCAGGACCUCAGACUGGGCCGAAGGUUUACCUUCCAACAAGACAAUGACCCUAAGCACACAGCUUAAAAAACAAAUUCGUGGCUUCACAACAACUCUGUGACUGUUCUUGAAUGGCCGAGCUAGAGCCCAGACUUAAACCUAAUUGAGCAUCUCCGGAGAGACCUAAAAAUGGCUGUCCACCAACGUUUACCAUCCAACCUGACAGAACUGGAAAGGAUCAGCAAGAAGGAAUGGCAGAGGAUCCCCAAAUCCCAGUGUGAAAAACUUGUUGCAUCUUUCCCAAAAAGACUCAUGGCUGUAUUAAAUCAAAAGGGUGCUUCUACUAAAUACUGAGCAAAGGGUCUGAAUACUUUCCAUACCCACUGUAUAAAUUUGGCGGAAGCUAUUAUCCAAAGUGACUUACAUUGCAUUGUAUAUUUGUUUCUGACUAUUAGCAAUGCCCUGGGAUCGAACCCAUAACCUUGGCAUUUCUAGUGCCAUGCUCUAACCACUGAGCUACAGGAAAUAAAAACUGCAAUGAAUUUGGAAUAAAAGAAAGUUAGAUUUUUUUAAUAAAUUUAAAAAAAUAGAUGCACCUGUAACUGCUUGUUGAGUGAACUUGUUGACUAUUUAUUGUUCCUUACAGACCCCCCACCUUUUAGUUUAUCUCAAACUGUGUGCCAAUAACUUAUGUUUUGUUUAAUGUCUACAGUUGUAUUGCGGAUCUGGAGAGAAAUGCUCCACUCCUCAUUUUACCAUCCUCGAGAACAUAGCAUUAUUCUCUUCAGUGUGGUAAUGAUUCGAAAAGCUCACAGCAACAAUAAUUCUUUAUGGCACUUCAGGACCCUUUCUUGAGAAGAACAAGGAUUCAAAUAGUAAUAAUACCUUUUAUUUAAAGGCGCCUUUCAAAACAUUAAAAGAUACUGUACUUUUCAGUGAUAAUCAUUAACAUCAAGUCAACAAACAACAACUAUUUAACUGUUAAAAUUAGUUUUUAGACAUGAUCUGAAAGUAGUCAGACAGUCACUUUCUCGUGUAGAUUGAGAAAUAGAGUUCCAAAGAACAGGAGCAACCCAGCUAUGUUUUAGACCCCAUUGGUACUUUACAAACAGAAGGUUCAACAUAGCACGGGAAACAGAUAAGUAUGAUCUUAGAGUAUGCUUUGGUUUGUAAACAUGAAGCAAAUAAGAGAGAUGUACGGCAAGAUUGUAUAGAGCUUUAAAAGAGAUGUGGGCAAUUCCAUGAAAAUGUCAACCUUACCACGAAAAAACUGUUUUCACAAGCGGUUUUUACUUUGCUUACAGCACAGAUUUUAAAAUUUGGUGUCUCAAAUACCCAUGUGAGAUCUCUCUUCAAAUUUGUAAAGCAUUUGCUUUAAUUUUUGUGCAAGCAAUUAGUGCCAUUUUCAGGAUUGUCACAUCCGCAACGCUACAUAUUCCUCCUAAAUGGAAACGUAUAUAAAGUAACUAUUUGAUGUUCUAUAAAGAGGCAUCCCUUCUCCAUUCAUUGGAUAUAAUUGCUUCAGGAUUGUGCAUUUUAUUUUACAGAAAUCCUACAAAGUUUAACGUCUCCCUUAAAACACGUCCUUUUUUGUCACAUCGAUAUUAUUUGUUUAUUUCCCUUUUUUAAAAUAUAUAUAUUUUCAUAGACUGACUAUUUUUGUGUUUAGACUCUUUCAACAAGGGUUCAGUAAAAUAUAAACAGAUGGUUCAAUAUAAUCGUAACAAAUUCAUUCUCUGACCAAUUUUAUGUAACGUAGGAGAUUGGGAGCAUAUUAAAGGAAUGGACGUGAUUCUAGCCCGGUGUGCGCACAGCUGGCGCUCAUUCACAAUUACUCACCUAUUCAAACCACAGUCUCGCCCCGCCUACUCUACUACAGGGAUUUUCAGGGGUGUGUAUACAAAUCUUAUUAAUUGACAGGCUGUGAAAUGUAGGAUGUAAAUUGAGUGAUCAAAAUCAUACUAGAUGCCAGCACUGUACAAAGCUUUAUGUGAUGAGAAUAAAAUCUUUCUGUCUA